CAACGCUGGCGGCGUGCCUAACACAUGCAAGUCGCACGAGAAAGCGGGGGCAACUCCGUGAGUACAGUGGCGUACGGGUGAGUAACACGUGACUAACCUACCCUCGAAUGGGGAAUAACCUCGGGAAACCGGGGCUAAUACCGCAUAAUACCGGCGGGUGCAAUUCCUGCCGGUCAAACGAGCAAUCGGUUGGAGGAGGGGGUCGCGGCUGAUUAGCUAGUUGGUAAGGUAACGGCUUACCAAGGCGACGAUCAGUAGCCGGCCUGAGAGGGCGCACGGCCACACUGGAACUGAAACACGGUCCAGACUCCUACGGGAGGCAGCAGUGGGGAAUUUUGCGCAAUGGGGGAAACCCUGACGCAGCAACGCCGCGUGGAGGAUGAAGUCCCUUGGGACGUAAACUCCUUUCGACCGGGACGAUAAUGACGGUACCGGUGGAAGAAGCCCCGGCUAACUCCGUGCCAGCAGCCGCGGUAAUACGGGGGGAGCAAGCGUUGUUCGGA
rnacentral:rRNA from 1 species